GCUGGAAUCGCUAGUAAUCGCGGAUCAGAAUGCCGCGGUGAAUACGUUCCCGGGUCUUGUACACACCGCCCGUCACACCAUGGGAGUCGGAAAUGCCCGAAGUCUGUGACCUAACCGUAAGGAAGGAGCAGCCGAAGGCAGGUCGGAUGACUGGGGUGAAGUCGUAACAAGGUACC
rnacentral:rRNA from 1 species